CUCAAAGUUUUCAGUCUUGCAGAGAUUUGAGAUCCAUGUAAAAAGGCAGUAAAAACGUGACUUCACUUUGAGAAAUAGUCAUUCUUGAAUUUCACACUCCCUAUCUUCACUCCAAUUUUUUAAAAGAGUUUCUGACUGAUGAAUCUGCACUAAAAGGUCUUCUGCUGUCUAGGUGACCCACCAGAAGGACUGUACUCAUGAUGGAGAAUGAGGAAACAUUCCGAGGCAAGCCACUGGCCAUUUUCAGAUUUUCUAAACAGCGGCUAGGCAACAGCACCCCCUGCUGCCCCGCAAACUAACAUGCACCUUCCACAGUAGGAGGCCCGGAUGCAAGACGGGAAAGCAAGCAGGCUUCUCACUUACUAAGGCAGCAAAUAAUUUGUUAAGCGCAUAUUGUUACUAAGAUAUUGUAGAGGUGGGAGGUGGGGAAGAAUCCACAGAGAAGUGGAACCCUCAUUGUUGUCUCUCAAGGAACUUUCCAUUCAGUUGGGAACACAUAUGACGUAAUGAAACUCCUGAAUGUAGGGCGUGGAGACAUUGAUGAGUUGGUGCUCGAUCUGAGAAACAGUGGAGAGCCGCUCUCCACAUUUAACCAUCCCCAAAUGGUGCCAGUCGUCUAAAGACAUGCCUGAACAAGUGACAGUGUUUGACAGACCUUAUAUCUCCUUUCUAUCACACCAAAAUCUCUGUAGUGAGCUCAGGCAAUGUUUUGACCUGCUGGUGUGCUGAUGCACUUCAGGAUAAAAAGAAUUGGUCCACAUUGUAGCAAUAACUUCCAGGAAGAAACGAGUGGAUUGGACCAGAUUAUCUCUACAAUUUCUUCCAGUGCAAACACUCUGUGAAUGAAGGCACUUGCCUUCUCUCUAAACUGGAAGCCUCUUGAGGGCAGGACUGCAUCUACCUCCUCUCUGUACCCCUGCAGCACCCAGUACAGUGCCCAGCAAUGGACUGGAACCAAACCAGCAGAGCAAAACCAGGUGAGAGGAUACCUUGAGGACACCUUCAGCAACCCAUCUGAAACUAGAUAGCUGUCCUCUGAAAGGCAGCUUUUAUAUAACUAAGAUCACAUUGCAAUGAUGCCAAAUGUCUGAGAAACUCUUGGAAUUACACAAGGAAUUUAAAAAUAUGCAAUAUCAUUUGAAAACCAGCAGGAUACAGAGGGACAGGAGAAACAGAAAGGAAGACAGUAGAAAAGAGGAAGAGUUCCCCAAUCAAAUGCUAUUUAUUAGGAUUUCCCUCUUAUCCAGUAGUUAAAUGAAAUUUCUACAUCAAAGAAAAUCUCUGAGCACUCAGUAAUUUGUCUCUCCAGGGAACGGGAAUUCAGGCGGCUUUUAAAAAUAUCAUGGGGCCCAGCUAAUGUCCAGAAGUCAUCAUUAGAGAGCUGGAGUAGGUUAGAAGGAUGAAGUUUCGUUUGUCAGCCUCCUCCUGGUUCUCUGUAAGAGCCAUCAGUGGAUCCCGCCUAGAAGGGCUUAGCCCUCUUGAAGGGAAAGGCGCCAGCUUUGGAGCCCAGCGGUUGUCUGGUGGAUUUUAUUAUUAGAUUGGAGGUUCCACACAAUGUAAUUAAAGCCCUAUGGCCAUAGCGGCACCAAUGUCACAGGCCUGACUUUUUCUAUUGCAGCUGAUAAAUCUGCAGGCAGAUGGACAAUGUUCUCUUUCCUUUUGCCUCUGUGUGUGUGUAGGAAGAGAUGUGGAUGGACACAUCCCUCAAAAUCAUUUGGCAAGCACUAAUUCAGUUGAAAUGAUGCUUGGCAAGCUCUAGUCAUAACAAAGCAGCCUCAGAAAGGCCUGCUGACCUCUUGUACCUGUUUGGUGACUGACCGGGAGGGGUGGGAGAACAGGGAGAGAAAGGCCCAGCCUGGAAGUGCUCUCGGGGACUUUUCCUGUAAUGUGGUAAAGGAGUCAAAAAUUAUGACAAGCAAAGAGAAGCCAAACUCCAUUAAAAAAAGACAUUUUAGAUUAGGAAAAUAAAAUAAAAUAAAACUUUUGUGACAACCAAAUCAAAGACCACAGCAUUUCCUGGCAGUAUUUUUUUUUUUAAUGAACAAAAAUAGUAAUAAUGUCUAGCAAGAAUUGUACAUGUAUUAGCUACAUAAAAUCAAAACCAGGCUGGCAUGCUGGCAUUGCUGAACAGAAAAGACAGAAUUUUUUAUAAUCUUUAUUUUUAGUUAAUUUCUUCAUUCGCUAAAAUUGCCAGGUUGUUUUUUAAAAGUUGCUAGCCAAACUGCUUUGGCAUGCUAAUUAGAUAUAAAAACGAUGGACUCCGUGGAAGGGGAAAGAUGAGGAGGGAUCCAGGGCAGAUCUUCAAGGAGAGCCCAGAGAUAAAGGGCAGAACUUAAAGGAGCUAUUUUCAGUGACUUCCCUUAUCAACAAAUUCAUUAUGGAUACGUGGGAUGAAGGGUCAUGUUCAAAACAUGUAACAACUGAUAUGUCGUGGGCAUCAACAAGUCAGAAUAGCCCCCAGCUAGAAGCUACUAGAACGGUUGUACGUGAGCCCUGCCUGUGAUUAAGCCAUCAGCUCUGGGCUCUUGCUUUUAAAAGUUAAUAUCAUUUGUAAAGAAAAGGGGUAGAACACAGAAAAGAACAAGGGAAAGAAAAAUACCAGCACAGAAGCGAACAGCGUGGGAGUCCAUGUGUCUUCCGCUUUCAGCAUAACUCCCUGAUCCCGCUUCCCACCCAAACCUCCCUCGCCAGGGAAUGCUUGUCUUCUCCAAAUAUCACAUUUUCAUGUAACACCCUAAAGUAUAAGUACCAAUGCUUUAAAAAAGAUUAAAC
rnacentral:lncRNA from 1 species